UUGGCUGAAUUCGUUAACAAAAAGAAAAUUAAAAAUCUAAGUAUUUUAAAUUGUAACGUUAGAGUUUUAAUGUUAUUGAGUUAACAUCGCGUCAUACAUAAUAGCGGAUCUGGUGGACAAGGACUACUAACAAGUGUGUGGCAAUUCGUACUACAUAACAUAAAAGUUAUAAUACAAAUACAAGAGCAAUGUGCUGAUUGCCAUGAGUAUGGAGGGCAAAAAAAAAUAUUAGAAAGGGACGUGAUACUUUGGAGAGGGAGAGGUCGCGAAUGACGCAUAGAAUGAAAACAUUACAUUAGACGACGUAUUAUGUACCAGUUGCGCGAGAGAAGACGCGCAAGAAGAAUAUGAGAUGACGCCAAGCUUUACAAUAUACGUAUAAAAAUAAUAACAAUAAUAAUAACAAUAAAUAGAAAACAUAAUUGCAAUGUCAUUA